GGAGCCGGCUCCGGCCUCAGCUGGCCCAGAGAGGGGCUCCCUCAGUGCAGUGGCGAGCUGAAGGGCUCCUCAAGGGCGGCUGGAGUGGACGCUGAGGCCGAGGAGACGCCAAGAGCAAACGAGGGCUGCUAGUACAUUGUCACCUCUCACUGGUAACUACAGUUGCUGUCAGUUUAACUGAUGCAAGAGAAGAUAAGGAAGACAAGAUCUCAACCACUUUCAGCAAAGCUUUGCGGAGAAUGCAACAUCCUUCAAGACACCAUGAAGCUCCACGCAUCUGGUCAUCUUGUUUCUUCAGGGAAUAAAUUUAUUGUUCUCUGCUUCAGAACUCUUCACCACCUUUGACUUGGCCUAGUGGUUAAUGAGCUGAGUUCUGAGCAGCUUUUGGGAUUUCCAGGGAGAUUCCUCAAGGACUUCUCCUCAUUUUAGCAAGGGCAGGCACACUUGGCCAGUAAAGAAAAUCCCCCCAGCAGAGAAUUGCAGAUACUCACAGCAAGAAGCCUUUCUUGUGAAUGGAGGAUGGAUGUGGAGCUGGUCCGAGCAGUCUGCCUACUGCAUCUGCUAUGACACCCAGCAAACUGGAAGGGAAAAGCAGUUACAAAGUUUCCAACCAGCACAAAUUCCAUAGUCAGGUUUUCCACAUGUGGGGAAAUGACAGGGGUCAGCACAUCCAACGUGCAAUGGACAAGCCUUGCACUGGGUAAACCACGUUCAUGGUCAUGGAAUCUCAUUUACCAGGUCCUGUGUAUUCUUCCUUUUGAUGAAGUUUGAGAAUGAAAGCUAUGAAAUUGGAUGAAAGUGUCUCAAACCACAACUAAGAAGCACUUCAACGGACCAGAGGUCAAGUAACUUUACACUGCUUAACAUAAAUGUUGAUAUAAAAUAGGAUCUUAAUUUAACAGUAGACACAUAUAUAAAAAAGCUAUACAUAAAGCCAGAACUUCCUACAAGUACCUAAAAACCACUGAAAAUGCCUAAUAGUUUUUCUUUUUAUAUCUGAUAUUUAGAGGAAAAGCUGUGAGUUGUAUUUUGGCCACUUAAUCACUGAAUAUUUACCCACGGACCUUUCACUGAAUAUAUUAAACACUAAAAACCUGCUGUUGAGUGGCCACUAUUUGAACUUUCUUUCUUUGAAGACUUUUCCUUUCAGAAUUUAGCAUUAAAAGAACAUUCCAUUUCUGUUGUUGGCAAGCUAGGGAUAUUUUAGUAAAGUAAUUUUGAGCAUAAUGUCAUGAAUCUAAUUACCAGGUAUUAUUAAGUUACCAGUUGUUUUAAAAAGUAAAUGUUAAGGAGGUGUGAGGAGAAGGAAUAUAUUUUAUAAAAUAUUACAAUAAAGCACAGGAUUGACCAUUGACUAAUGGGUGUUUUAGUGUAUUGUUAGAAAUAUGGAAAGGGUAGUUAAGGAAAUUACCAACCAGCAGCAGAAACUGUGAACUCACCAAACCGAGAUUUCAAUGUAGAUUUCGUCUUUUUUAUGUGGCCAUAAAGACAGAAUUAGAGUUUGGAUAGAAAGUAAUCCAAAGAUGUUCCACAUCUGGUUGUUUACAUUCAUUUGUUGGGUUUACAUCUUAACAUGUUCAAAGGAAGACAUACAAGUGACCCAGAAACAUAUUUUAAAAAAGCACAACAUCACUAAUCAUCAGAGAAAU
rnacentral:lncRNA from 1 species